rnacentral:lncRNA from 1 species
AAGGCACCUGAUUUUCUUUUUCGUUAUCUUCUAGUUUUACUGUCUUGCCUCUUACAUUUAGGUUUUUUUAAUUGCAAACCUCAAGGGUGGAACCAGACUAUCAACAUUUGGAAUACUUGAAGUGAAAAUAAUAAAUAAUAAUGGAAGGCUGGGGUUGAAAACACAAGCAUGGCAGGCGAGAUCCAAUUCUGCUGGGAAGAUGGCAAGCUUCUCUUUUACAAGGAGAUACCAGGGAUUUCUCCCCUAAGGAUACACUGCUUCCCCUCAUCUUUCCUGAUUCCUUUCCAGCCACACAGGGAUCUGAUCUUAUCAAGGGGAGAGAUAGGGACGGACAUAUUCCUGCUUGGGAGCUAUGGGUCUCCAUCAUCAGAGCCAUUUCCACCCUUACAAGGAAGGGCAAGUGAAUAGAUCUGGCCCCACAAGCAAGAAGGAAAAUCCAUUCUGCUGCUCAGGUCAUAGAUGGGGAGCUGAGAAGAAAAUAAACGUUCUUCAAAUGCAAAUUCUUCACUUGUUGCACACCCUCUCACACAUGUUAUUUAUUACUGUGAAGUCAACUUCAGGAAGGGGUUUUCUGAGAGUCUUAUGUGCUUGACCUGCAAAAGUCACAUAACUGAAGCCCCUGCUGGUGGUUUAUUCUCACCCAAGACUCUGGACCCAGCUCUCAUCUCUAACCAGAAUCACCCCCAGGAUCCGGCACAGACACCAUUUACAGGUGUGUAUGUCAGAGCUCAUCUCUCAGACAGGCUCAGGUCCAGAGAGAAAACCAACAAAUACCGCAGGUGACCCCAGGUGUUUUUGAAGUCAUUACCCCCUCCCUGAGCUCUGGUGCCUGUCCUGAAACUCCUUUUGCAAAUGAAGACAUUUACAUUUCAUGUCCUCUGCAUCCUCCUGCCAGGGCCUUCGGCUGAUCAAUACUUUUAGCUGACAAUAUUCCCCACAAGCUAAAGAAAUGGCUCUCUCACCAUAGAGAUGAACAGAGGCUUCUUCAUGGGUUUACUGGUGAUAUCAAGUUUCCAUUUUACAGCCUUGUGAAAGCAUUUAGAAAACCAUGAUUCCUAAGUAGUGUGAAUAGAAAGGAACCUAUUUGUUAUGCUGAUGUAUCCUCCUCUAUAGACUCAGGGAUAGCCUGACUUUAGCCAUGCACACCACACUUUCUUUGCUGCCGUGUGUGGGACCCAGGUAAGAAGGCUAAAGAGAUGGCUGACACAGAGGUGAAGGAGGGAAGAACCACUAGAAACCUCGGAGUUGGUGCAAGAGGCAAGAUACAAAGAGAAGGAACCAGACCAGCCACCCAGGAUUACUGAAUGAUGAUUACAGAAGCCCAGAAUAGGAAGGCACCCGGGAGGCUAGAGGACGGAAUUUGGAGGCUGGGCACAAGGUUGUGGGCAGGUGUGCAGGUGUGUGGGUAUGCAGGUGUGCAGUUGUGCAAAUGUGCAGGCGUGUAGUUGUG